GGCAAUGACCACAUGAAUUAAAGAAAAAAAUUGAACCAAAAUGAGAAAAUUAUGUGAUGUAAUUCUCUUCUCUUGCUUUCUUCUCCUAACUUUUGUUGACGUUGAAGCAGAUUGUGAAGGCAGCUUAUUUGCCGUUAACAGCACUUACAGCGAAAACCUUAACUCUCUUUUCUCUUCUCUUGCAAGUAACGUCACCACUAAUGACGGCUUCUACAACACUUCAACCGGAGAAGGCUCCAACAAAGUUUACGGUCUUGCCCUUUGUGGACGAGGCUACAAGAAGCAAGCUUGUGUGAACUGCGUGGAGCAAGCGAUUCAAGAAUCACAACAAAGAUGUCCAAAUCGAAUGAAAUCUUUCAGGUGGACCACUAGAGACAAUGACAAUGCUUCUUGCCUUGUACGGUACGCUAAUCAUUCUGUUUCUGCGAAACUCGAGCUUUUCCCACCUACUUUAUCAGAUAAUCCUUUAAACAUAGAGGAACCUAAGAGCCUUAAGCUUUUUCGACGAGAAUGGGAAGCACUGACUAACCUAACAAUGCAGUCUGCUACUUCAGCUCCUGAAAAUUCAUCAGUUGUGCUCAAGUUCUAUAGCGUCGUAAGAGCAGAGUUCACAGAAUUUGCAAAUGUUUACAUGAUGAUGCAAUGCACUCCUGACAUUUUAUCUAAUGAGUGCAACAAAUGUCUUAGCCAGUGUGUGUUGAACUUUCAAAACAAUAAUUGGGGAAGCCAGGGCGGUGCAGGUCGGCUUCCGAGCUGUUACUUCCGGUGGGAUCUUUAUCCUAUUUGUGGAUCUUCUGAGAAUAUGACAAGAGUUUCUAUGAUUAGUCGUGCUACUACUCUCCCUCAAGGAGAUACGGUCUCACAACCUGAGUAUGACAAGAAAGGAAAAAGGAUUCGCAAUGGAACUAUAGCGAUAAUUGUUGUUCCUACGGUUAUUAACCUCUUCGUAUUUGUUGGUCUUUAAUUUUCAUCAUCUUUGAUCAAAGGAGAAAGGCCUAUAAUAAAAACAUCAACGAAUGCUUUGAUUCUGAUGGACAAUCUAUGUUGCGGUUUGAUCUUGGCAUGAUACUCUCUGCAACCAAUGAAUUUUCACCUGAAAAUAAACUUGGACAAGGUGGAUUUGGAACUGUCUAUAGGGGGAUUUUACCGAACGGACAGGAGAUAGCCGUGAAGAGAUUAGUAAGUGGUUCAGGACAAGGAGAUACAGAGUUUAAGAAUGAGGUCUCGCUCUUGACAAGACUCCAACAUAAGAACUUGGUUAAGCUUCUUGGGUUCUGUCAUGAAGGAGAUGAAGAGAUUCUUGUCUACGAGCUCGUGCCGAAUUCUAGUCUUGAUCAUUUUAUCUUUGAUAAGGAGAAGCGUUCACUUCUUACAUGGGAGGUGAGGUUCAAGAUUAUAGAAGGCGUUGCUCGAGGUCUACUUUAUCUCCAUGAAGAUUCGCAGUUGAAGAUUAUUCACCGAGACUUGAAGGCAAGCAACAUCCUUUUAGAUGCAGAGAUGAACCCUAAAGUUGCAGACUUUGGGACUGCGAGGUUGUUCGAAGCUGAUGAGACUCGAGCUGAAACAAGACGAAUAGCUGGAACCCGUGGAUAUAUGGCUCCGGAAUACCUGAAUCAUGGGCAAAUCUCCACUAAAUCGGACGUUUUUAGCUUUGGUGUUAUGCUUCUAGAGAUGAUUAGUGGUGAAAGAAACAAUAGCUUCGAAGGAGAAGGACUUGCAGCAUUUACAUGGAAGAGGUGGGUUGAAGGAAAGCCUGAGACCGUUAUUGAUCCUUUACUGAUGAAAAAUCCGAGAAACGAGAUCAUCAAGUUGAUCCAGAUUGGUUUAUUGUGCGUUCAGGAGAAUGCGGCAAAGAGACCAACCAUGAGCUCUGUAAUAGUUUGGUUUGGCAGUGAGACUAUCAUCAUUCCUUUACCUAGGGCUCCUGCUUUCACUAGGGAUCAAUCCCAAUCUGAAAAUAGUAAAAUGUCAAUGAACAAUGACAUAUUCACAGAGUUGAGUUGUCGUUGAAGUUAUAAAUAAGUUGAUCAUUAGGUGGCUGCAAGUGUGUUACUGCAUCUGAUUAGCGAUAAACAAAAUGAUUUAUCUCUUAUUACCUAGCUGGUGCAGUAGUACUAAGCUUAAUUCUCUCAAAUUCUCCAUCAGGUUUACAUGCCGAGCAAGAAAAGCGCUGACUUAGCAAUUUCGUUUGUAAUAUUCUUUGAAGAAUUCUGAAAUCAAAUUUGCUUUUUUUUUCUAAGAUAGAAUGAUUAAUCUGAUUAUUUCCGGAUGUAAUUACAUCAUGGUCUGUUCCAAACUCAUAUAUUUAGAGGUGUCAGACAGGUCAACCCGCGUCCACGUGAAACAUUCCGCAGCAGGCUCAUUUUCUUCUCAGACACAAAGUAUUUGUCCAAACCCAACCCGCAUUGUCCACUUGGUUUGCAGGUCAAC